GUUGAAACACCGAUCCCGUACGAUCACCGAAGUUAAGCAGCAUCGAGCCUGGUCAUUACUUAGAUGGGUGACUGCUUUGGAAUCUUGGA